rnacentral:misc_RNA from 1 species
UGAGAUAUGGUGGUCAUACGUGAACUGUCCUUUAUAUACACACACCGUGGUUACGGUCAUAAGAACAAAUAUUGUGGUUGUGUUUCACACGGCUGGCUUUCACUCGGAAAGAAUGUGAUCCAGUUUUAAACAAUGGAUCUUCAGCAAGUGAGAUAUCUGACGUUUGUCUUACUUCUAGUUUUGUUUACAGGCUUCAGUGGUGGACAUCCCACGCCGAAGGGAAGUCUGAAGUCACUCAAACUUCCAAGCAAAUGGAGUGUGGUUAAAUGCUUCCAACUAGAAGGAAGAUGUCAACUGUCGUGUAAAAAAGAUGAAGUGGAAAUCUACGGGGUUGGUGGUUGCCGUAAUGCUUGCUGCGUCAAGAGGAAAAAGGAAAGCAUGUGUGAGACCUUCUGUGGCGGUCAGUGUGAGGCUGACUGUUCAAGACAAGCUGGCACCGAGCUCAUUGGUACAAGACUGUGCAUGGACAAGAAAAAGACCCAAUGCUGUGUAAGACAAAAUGAGAAACCACAGUGCAAUAAUGGCGAAACGAAGGGUUUUAAUAAAUCAUCUGUCUAUAAACGGCACACAAGAAAAAGAUGCGGAGUAUACGGCGGGCAACCCGUGGAACUUGAAGGAGGAUGGCACAGCCGAGUUAUUCGUAUCAGAAAUGCUGACCGUUGGAUACCGCAGUAUCAAACCACCUAUUAUUGUCGGUCGGGAUAUGUUCAAAAUGGCACCAAUGCAGUAGCGCAGUGCAGGGUGGACACAGGCUAUUACUGGAACACUCCCGAAAUAACGUGCACACGAAAAUGUCCAAAACCUCCUACUAUAGCCAAUGCAGUGGCGUCAGGACCAGCGCUCACAGCGUCUAACAUCGUUGAAGGGGAAAAAGUGCGGUACUCGUGUAAAGCUGGCUUUGCACAGACAUCUGGGUCGCAAGUCAGGAUGUGUUCAAACGGCGCUUGGAGCGGGAAAAACAUCGUGUGUAAACAAACAUGUCCAAAGCCACCUACCUAUGCUACGUCAGUGGCUACUGGGGCACCUGUCACCGCGUCCCAGAUAGUUGAAGGGGACAGGGUGACCUAUGUGUGUAAACCUGGCUAUUAUGGGGCAGUGGAUCACGUUCACAUGACCUGCUUUCGAGGCUCUUGGAGGGGCCGCGUUUUAGAUUGUCAGCCAAGGAAAUGUAGAGCACCACCAACUGAAACCACAUUCUACUUCUCCCCAAUAAAGACUGUCUACAACAGCGGCGAAAGAAUCGUACAAAGUUGCCGAAGUGGAUAUGCAAGAACUGGCGGGGAAGCCGUGAGAACUUGUAAACUAGGAACGUGGAAACCUGAGAAUGGAAGCAUAUCGUGCGAAAGGGCGUGCCCGACCCCAGCAAAGCUAUCUGGAACCGCGUUAGUCCAGACUACUAGGGGGAAACCUACAGAGUACACAGAAGGAAUGUCCGUCAAGUACCACUGCCUGGUCGGCUAUGGUAAAGUUGGUGGAGAUGACACAAGGACAUGUACUGCAGGACGGUGGAGUGGUGAUGACAUUCUUUGUAAACGGACGUGUCCGACCCCAGCAAACCUACCUGGAGCCGCGUUAGUCCCGAGUCCUGACGGUACACCGGCGGUUUACACAGAAGGAAUGUCCGUCAAGUACCACUGCCUGGUCGGCUAUGGUAAGGUUGGUGGAGAUGCCACAAGGACAUGUACUGCAGGACGGUGGAGUGGUGAUGACAUUCUUUGUAAACGUACCUGCAUUGCUCCGCCUGCUAUCCCCAAUACUUCCAGCUCACACGGACAAUUCACGCACUUCUAUAUGGAGGGAGCAGCCAUUUUAUACCUCUGCCAGCCCGGGUUUGCCCAAAUUGAUGGAGACGCAAUAAGAACAUGUAGAUCCGGAACGUGGACAGGGACAGACAUUAAAUGUGACAAGAUCUGCCAACCACCACCACGUUUGGAAAAUGGUCGACUAUUAGGGAACUUAACGGCUGUCUAUACCAGUGGUGACAAGGCAAAUUACACGUGCGUUCCAGGUUACACAUCAAACGGCCCCAUCAGUGUGCUGUGUGGUGAAGAUGGAAAAUGGACCAAUCUGGAUGCAAAAACUUGUAAACGAACAUGCCCGACCCCACCAACUUUUCCUCAUGCUACUUUGACCCUCCCGCAGGCCAGCCAAACCCAAGUGGAGGGCGCCAUCGCCGUCUACAGUUGUACUCUUGGCUACAUGAAUUCUGGGACUGCGCCAGUGGUGAUCAAAACAUGUACGAACGGGAAGUGGAGUGGCGGGACCUUGGACUGCAAGCAAGACACAUGCCCAACUCCCCCAAAGAUACCCAAUGCUGUAGCCGGCCAGUCAUCCACCAGUCACGGUAGUACAGUACAGUAUACCUGCCUACCGGGACAUACCAACCUCGGCAAUGUCACUCCCAUGACCUGUGUAUACGGAGAGUGGAAGAUGGCUGGGACGAUGACUUGCACUAAAGCGUGUCCAGAUCCCCCUAAGCUGACCGGUGCACAUAUAACGUCUGUGGCGAGGAAGUUCUAUCUGGAAGGCCACAAUGUCACCUAUCAGUGUGAGAGAGGGUACCAGAGCACAACUUAUCCAGAAACAGUCCACACCAAGAUGUGUACCAACAGUGUCUGGAAGGGAACAGACUUCACUUGCAAACGUGUUUGUCAAUCCCCGCCAGAUGUUAAGAACGCCGUGGUAACGCCUCCCCAACCCCCAUUCUUUGAAGGAACCGUUGUGCAAUAUACUUGUAUCCCUGGGUUAGUGGCAGUAAAUAGGACUGCUCUGAAAACCUGCGUUGGAGGCAACUGGACUGGCGAUGACAUCGAUUGUCAAAAGGUAUGCGCUCAGUUACCCUACGUUGAGAACACUAACGUCAUAAUGAACCACGUCCCCGGUGGGAGACUUAUAGAGGGCGCUAGGGUUAUCCACCGCUGCCAGACAGGCUACACCCAGGUCGGAGGCAACAGUCUCCGUGUGUGCCAUGACAGCAGCUGGACAGGGAAGGACAUUCAAUGUGAAAAAUCGUGCCAAGCGCCUCCAGCUAUCCGUAACACCGAACUGGCCGACACCUCAUCCACAUAUCGGCAUGGUACCGAGGUCCGCUACCAGUGUGUGAAUGGAACGCUUAAAGUUGGGGGAUCAGAGACUAAACAGUGCGUAUCAGGGAACUGGUCCGCUCCGGAUGAUCUACACUGUGAAAAACCGUGCAGCCGCCCUCCUCACUUCCCGCUCAGUCGCCGUGUAUUGCUGAAGGUAGGACCAUACGUGCCAGAACAUUACGUCCAAGGAAACCAGGUGAAAUACGAGUGUAGACCAGGUUAUGAGAAUAUCAACACUGGGGACAUCAAGACGUGCGAGGAUGGUCGCUGGGUUGGCGCGGACGUUAACUGUCAAAAAUUGACUACCACCACGACCGUCACCACCGUGACCACGACUGAGAAACCAAUCCCCACUACAGAGACCAAGGAGCCAUUUGCAGGAGGCACGAAACCAACACCUACGCCAAAGAUAAUAGACCCCGUGGAGCCAGGCUCGGGGGAUGCCGAGAAGGAUGAUAACUUGGGCCUGGUUGAAGAAAUCCUCUAGUCACUAACGGUUCCCGUUGUAAGAGGAACUUCAAGAUGUCACAUAGUACUAGUGCACUAUGCGUCUUGACAAUCAGAAGCAUAUAUAUAAACUGUUUAUUAUACGCUCCACUAGUCUAGAUGAAAUUCAAAUGCAAAAUUUUAUCAGAGAUAUAUGUAUAUAAAUAUUAAAUUGACUUUUAACAAUUAAACGGUAAAAAGCAUAUAUUAACAGCAAGUCUUAAAAUUGGAUGCUUGUUCAAAUGAAGAGUGUGAUUUACUUCAAUGUGUUCUUAAAAUCAUACAUAUGCAUUUCCUGUUUAAAUUGUUCAAAUUUUAAAUGUGCAGCUAUACAUUUUUUAAGACUAGAAGUAAGAUUUUAUGGAAUGUGAAGACUGUUACAAGUCUUUUAAUUUUUUAUUUAUGCUCAUGAAAUUCAUGACUAUAAAAUACUGCUACAGCUUCCUUUGAUUUUUUUCUUGAUUUUUGAAAACAGCAUACGUUUUAACACAAACAGCAUACAUUUUAACACAUCUUACUAAAAUUCUUCAAAAAUAAUCAAAUACCCUUUUCUAUGAAUUAAAACAUUUAUAAUUUGUAAAUAUGCCUCAAUUUGUUAAGUCUCUCACUACAACUUUUACUUAUCUUCCAUACCUACCAUAAGACAAUACACACUUUCACAUGCAUUCUACAAAAACUAUCAAAACUUCUCACAAAACUUGUCUUGAUCUUAUCGAGAUAUCCUACAUACUGAAUCUUUACUCUGAAAUACUUAAAAUUCACAACCUUCAAGUAGUGGGUUAAACUAUAUACUAAUUGGCAAAAACACAGUAUGUUUCAUUUUUCACAACCAUCUCAACCCCACAGAAAUCAUGUUAUAAGAAUACAAAUUCUAUCUUGACGCAAAAUCUAUCAAUCGAUAAACAGAAAACUAACUGAUAGAAAGUGAAUUACCAACACAAUGAAGAAGAUCACUAGGUACUUUUUAAUAAUAUUAAUAAUAAUAUAACAUUUACCCAUUUUUGAUAAUAUCUGAAUUGCUAUAGUAUAAUCUCUCUUAAAUCUAACACAACAAAUAGGAAUGCUGUAAUUGUAAUGCCACUAAGUCUAAUUAAGCCUCAAAUUAAGCAUCUUCUAGACUUUCUGCACCAAUAAAAGUUCACUAAAAAGCUGCCCUACAUUUUAAGAGAAGACUAGAUUCAAUUAUGCUACACCCCUGAUGACACGAUUGUCUUGCAUAUAUAUUUGAAACUAUGUAUAUUUGGAUGGGAGAUGGGGGAAAUCACAUUUCUAUCACUAUCACAUACAAGAGACUGGAAACAAUAUCAUCAAAAAGACAACACAUAUACAGGGAUGAUAAUGGCUGGUCCCUAGGCAAGACAUGGGAUAUGUGUUCCAGAUAUUGGUCCCUGUUUUUACCACUCUUUAAACUAAUAAAAUAUGAUAAUGAAAAACACCUUGUUCCAAUGAACAGUGUUACAGCACAUUUGUUCAUGAAGACAUUCUCCGUUGAAGAAUCCUUUGAUGUCAUCAGAUAUUGGUCAAAUAUUAAGUAAGAGACUGUUUAAAGUAAUAUCAGGGCAAGUUUCAGCUGCUUGUCACAGAUACUAAGCAGAAUAAACUACAGGCAGGAAUGUUUAUGACGUCAGAAGGUCACACCUUGUCCUUUCUAGUAAAUGUCAUCUGUUAAGGUCACAUAAACUUAACUGAAAUUUGUCUCCAGGUCAACAAGAGUUCUUUUUAUAUACAUGAUCUCCUAAUAAGAUCACAGCACUCACUGCUAUACUUAGGUCACACAGUGUCCUUUGUGAUACUGUAGACAUGAUCUCUUUAGGUCACACAGUGUCCUUUGUGAUACUGUAGACAUGAUCUCUUUAGGUCACACAGUGUCCUCAUCUAUCUCUAUAAGUCACACAAACCCCUCUGAGAUACGUGUAAUCUCCCAAGGUCAGCAGCAUUCUUUUGUAAUUUGCUUGUGGUCACAGUAAGCUCUAAAUAUCAAAUAUCAUGAUCACCAUAAGCUCUAAAAUAACGAUGAUCUGUGAUUAACAGAUCAGACAUUGUGGCACCUUGUAAAGUUGGUUUCACCUGGAGU